rnacentral:lncRNA from 1 species
CAUUAUAGUUUAUUUAAAUGCUUAUGACAAUAUUUAAGCUUCGACUUAAAUCAAGACCUCUACUGAUGAUACUGUUGGUGCAUAUCUCUGCAGACCAACCGCACAACGGCGAGGAUCUUCCCUGCUGUACCGGAUGUUGAGAACCCUGAAUUCAAGAGGAAGUUAGACAGGAUGGUAGAUAUCAACCUGAAGAUCAUUUCUAUAGGAGAGUCCAACGACUUGCCCCUGGUGAAGAACCUGAAGAGGGUUCCUCUUAUUGCCCAACUAGUGUCUGAGAUCAUCGCUGCGUACCUCAUGCCCCCAAUCGAGUCUGGCUCCGUUGAUUUUGCCGAAUUUGAGCCCAAGCUUGUCUACUGAAUUUGUCGAAAAAGGAUUCAUCUCUGCCUAUCUUUACAAACAUAAUGAUGCAUCAUGCUCCUCGAGAGUCUCUAAAUGAGCACAGGGUCCAUGGUUAAUUAACAUGAUCUACAUCUUCCUGUGCUCACCUGUAAAGUAUUAAAACUCGGCAACAUGUAAGUGGCAGUGAACUGCAUCAGAGCAUGUGUUCCGGUUUUGCUUCGGAUGGAGAAGUGUAUGUGAAGUUGUCAUGUAACUUGUGUUGAUACUUUUAACACUUCUUCUUCAGUACAAUCCCCGGGCACAACGACGGAUUGAACGAUACCCUUUCGUAAAAAAGGGCAGGAAGGUCUUUCCUCCGUUCCGAUGUACGCGUCGUACCCGCGUCUGUCAGUGUGACGUGUCGUCUCCACGUCAGCCCACGUCGCCCUGACCACGGUCAAAUCAGACCCCUUUGCGCCGGUUCCAGAUUGAUCGUCGGUUCCCGAGGCCGCUGCCAUUAAUCCCGUCUACGUCGUCAGUUCGCCGUCUCUCGAGGUCGCCUCCAUUAAUCCCGCCUGCAUCGUCAAUUCGCUGUCUCCCGAGGCCCGACGCAUUAACGCCUGACGACGCCGCCUAUUGACCGACGGUCCGCCCUCUCCCGAGGCCCGACGCAUUAAUGCCUGACGUCGUCGCCUAUUGACCGUCGAUCCGGCCAUCUCUCGAGGCCGCGCAUUAACGCCUGACGCCGCCGUCUCCCGAGGCCCGUCGCCUCCCCGAGACAACGUGUUUACUUCGGGGGAGCAACGCCGCCCAACCACCCCGUCGCCUCCCCUUCCCCCGACAGUCUAUAUAAAGACGACGUCCCCGGGCACGUCCCCCAGACGCGUCGCUCUCCUCUCCUCUCCUCUCCCUCGUCGCCCCGCUACUCCUCUCCCUCCAACCUCUCGCCCCGACGAUGGCAUCCUCCGCCGGUGGCAACAGUUCUGGCGCCGGUGGCGACCCGCCGAGCAUCCGGCCGACGAGCCUUGACGCUCCAGCGACGGAGGAGCUCCAUCGCUACGCGCUGCUGGUCCCGCCGGGGUGCCAGCUCAUGAAGCCGUAGAAAGUCAGCAUGGACGGCUACGCGACGCUCGGGCCCGCCGCGACGACGGAGGAGCGUCGUAACCAUCGCGGCGGCCGACACAAUAUCUACGACCGGCACGCGUUUUGGGACGGCAAGUCCUACGCCGACGUCAUCAACCAGCACCAGCGCGCGUCGGCGGCCGCGGGCAACCCCGUCAACCCCGGGCGUCGGGCGUUAACCCCCCAGCCCCUGCCGGUGGCCCCGCCGGAGGUUGAACUCCUGCCGGGGCAGGUCGUCCUCCGCGAGGACGACGAUCCCGACUAUUCACUGGGGCUUCUCGUCGCCCUGCGUGCCUCUUAGGCGACGGCUGCGGCGGUCGCGGCGCGGCGGCGACGACGGAGGACGCGGAGAUCGUGGCGGGAAUCCAGGCGGUGGCGGCACUGGCGGCAAAUCCAUAGCCCAUCGUCGAGGACGACGACGACGAUAUCGACUGGGAUAACCUCGUCAACAGUUCUGACGACAACAACGACGCGGACGGGGACGACACGGUGGAGGGGUCGAACGUCGUCUACCUCGACGAGUCCGAUUAGAUUAGUUUUAGUAAUGUUUAAUUAAAUUUCAUUUUUAGUUUUAGUAAUCUUUAAUGAAAUUUUGCUUUUAGUUUUAGUAAUGUUUAAUUAAAUUCGUGUUAUGUUGGAAUGUAAUAUGAAUGAACUAUGGUUAUCAAAAUUAAGUGUUGUUAUGUUAUCUAAGUUAAGUGUUGUUAUUAUUAUUUCUUCGGAAUAUUGAACAAUUUUUGAAAUAUGUUAAAAAAAUUGGCCUUCCUUACAUUUAAAAAAUAUAUACAAACAGUUCAUAAAAAUGCAAAUAAAAUUUCGAAGUACACGAUUUUGAAAAAGAACACACACAUUCUUUUAAGGCCAUUAUGGGAGCAUUAUAACAACGGGCGCAAAUCUAUCAUAACGAUGGGCUCACUAACGCCGUUGGUUUAUCUUCUUUCAUAUCUUUGUUCACUUAAAACGAUGAUGUGACAAUGUUACUAAUAGGCGACUUGAUAGAUGCGAGGGGCCCGAUCUUUCGAUGAGACGAUAACUAUCGAUUUGAUGGAGACGACUUUGACGAUCCGACUAUAAACGUGCACAACGUUGCGCCUUAGCAAUCGCUAAACCAAUCUCGAAGAGGUUAUUGACCACGCCGAAGCACGAUCAAGCUGACCACGAAGGUCUCUUCCUGCAAGCAAUCGAAGAACAAACAAGAAUAUGAUAAAAGCAAUCUGAAUAUUGUGAAUAUAUAUGAAGUAUUGAUAAGGGUGGGGAUCCGAAAGCGGUCUUGAUCUGGUCGUUGGACACAAACGAAGUACACGAAGUUGCAAUGGCUAACUUUUAACUAAACAAAUCACAAGCAAAAAGCUACUAGGUUGAUCUACUUAUAUAGGAGCAAGGGGUGGCGGACAAGGUGGUGGGAGGACAUCCCAAGGCAACCUAAAACUAACCCUAGAUCGUACAAGUCCUAUGGGCCCAAGUGGAGGUGGUGCAACACCUUUGGACUUGUUGUUUUACUCGGAUUCUUGUGCAACAUCAUUUUGUUUGGUCGAUACCUCCAUGCUCCGGACGAAUUUGAAGGUGAUUCCAAUUGGGCCUGAAAGCCAGUAAAAUCUACUUUGCAGCCCAAAGCGAAUCACGCAAUUCGGAGUCCGGAUGAAAAAGUUGAAGGCGUUUUGGUAUAGGUAUGUCUGUGCAGUCCAAAUCUAAGUUCAGAACGUGAAAGACUUGUACUUUGUCUUCUCUUGGGCUAAAAGUGACGUGAGAGAACUUCUUGAACCGCAACUAAUUAUUUCUUUUGACUUGAGAGGACCUCUUGAGUAGCAUCCAAUCAUUUCCUCUUCCCCUGUCAUCAUACGUGAUUCAUACAAGUGUUCGGCCAUUCUGCAUUUAGGCAUAAAAUAAAAACAGGUCAAGUAUUUUUGUUUCAAAUAACAUAAAUAAAUUAUUGCAUGAGUUUUAUCAGAAAUCACCUCAAAUAAAUGCGCGUCGGGAAUGGUUCCAAGGUCGAUGUGAUCACCAUCGGCACGCUACCUCUACAUCUACCAUCAGGAUUAGUUUUAAACCUUAAUAAUUGUUAUUUAGUACCAGCUUUGAGCAUGAACAUUGUAUCGGGAUCUUGCUUGAUGCGAGAUGGCUACUCAUUUAAAUCUGAGAAUAAUGGUUGUUCCAUUUAUAUGAGUGAUUUUUUAUGGUCAUGCCCCGCUGGUCAAUGGUUUAUUCCUGAUGAAUCUCGAAUGCGAUGUUACACAUAUUCAACUUUUAGUUUUUGAAAAAACACACGGAUUUCCCAAAAUACGACACCUAUCACUAAUAGGCUCAAGCUCUUGGCACCAAUAGUCCAAACGUUACUCAAAUCAAUACCACGAAACUAUUACAAGUUACUGCUAUACUUAAAUAGCAAUCUCAUUUACCUACUCAUGCAAGACACACAACUCAGUGCAACGAGCCAACUCUCUAGACAAGAUAAGCAUGAUAACUCAAGAGAGCUCCAAAAUCAACCUAAAUAAAAGCUCUUAAAAAUAUAAUCAUGAAAACUAAGAGCUAAGGAUGACAGUAGCUACGAAAAGAUAGAGAACACACAUAAAAGACAAGCAUGAAAACCUAUGUUGUGUUCUAGAGUGGAAUGGAGCGUGUGUCUCUCCCAAACAAGGUAGGCUAGGUUCCGACUUGUUAUGGACAGCAAGAAAAACUAAAACAAACUAAAAAGUAAAGAGCGGGACGCUCCAAGCAUAGCACAUAACAUAUGAAGUGAUAAAAAUAUAGCAUGGAGGUGGACGAACUGAUGAUUGUUGAUAGAGAAGGGGAUGCACGGGGGCAUCCCAAAGCUGAGACGCUUGAGUCUCCUUAAAUAUUUCUUGGGGUGCAUUGGAGAAUCCCCAAGCUUGAGCUCUUGACACUCAUGUAUCUUCUUUCAUCAUCUCCCAUCGCAUACUUGAAAACUCCCUUCAUACAAAACUCAUCAUAAGCUGAUUAGAGUGGUUAGUACACAUGAUAAAAUAAUUCAUUACCUACUGGAAAUAAUGAUUUUCAUGAAAAGCUACUAUUUCUCAUGAUUUACAAAAGGUUUUUGCAAAGGAAAAAAAGUUUAAGAUUUGCAAAAUGAUGAAAACGCAAAACGUGGCAGAAUCUGUGAAAAAGAGAACAUCAAGUAGUAAAUAAUUUAUUCGGGGCACUUCUGUAACUCAAAUCAAAAACCUCAGAACAUAUGAUAGAAAUGCAAUUAUAUAGAGCAUGCUUUCAAAACAAUUCAAAUCAAAAAUAUGAACUGGUGAUUUUUGGCGAAUUUUUCCAUCAGGCAGACAGAAUGUGUUUCUAGACAGCAUGUUACAACUUUUGAACUUUCUUGCAAUCGGAGGCUAAAACUUGGCACAAAGCUUGAAAAUAAAGAUACAAUGAUGUUGCUACAGUAGUAACAAGCAUCAAGACCACUAAAAAUGAAAGUGAAAACUCAAAGUAAAGAAAACAAGGGUUGUCUCCCUAGAGCUCUUUCUUUAUAGCCAUAAAGAUAGGCUUAAGAUUUUAAUGAUGCUCUCGUAGGAAUAAGAGUUGUAGAACAAAAGAGAGCAUAAAGAAGCCAAUACCAACCACAUUUAAGUCUAAGAUGCAUCCUAUGAAUAGGAAUAUUGCAAUAGAAUAAUUCGUUGAAGCACAAAGCAAUAAGCAUAGGAAGGCAAAACAAGUGCAGCUUCAAAACCUUCAACAUAAAGAGAGGGAACUUGAUAUUAUUGAAAUAUCUAUAAGCAUAUGUUCCCUUAUCAUAAUAGUUUUCAGUGGGAUCAAUGAAUAAACUCAACAAUAUAAGUAUCACAUAAAGCAUUGUUACCAUGAUCCACAUGCAAAAAGGUACUCUUACUCUCCACAUAAGCAUAAUCUUCCUCAUUGGUAAUAGUGGGAGUAGGACUAUCAUAAACAACCUGAACACUAUAGAUUAAUUGUGUAUUGGGGAGAUGGUGUUCAGCAAGGGAGUAAUUCCCUCCAUGAUUGUGACAAGUUCCAUAAGGAUAAUUUAUCCUUAUGUCAUAGGUAUCUUUACAAUCACUAUAGAUAGGAGUUAUAACAUCAUCAUGGUAGAGAAGAGCAUUAUUAUUGCUAGCAACUAUAUUUGUAAACAUGUUGUCUUUAUUCUUACUAGCAAAAGAAUUAUCAAUUAUCACAUUACUAAUGGGUAAAGGACUUGCAAUCCUAUCAUCCCCAAGCUUAGGGCUUUCCACAUCAUCAUUUUCAACGUUGGUACCAAAAAGAUUUUCAAGAUCAUAAGUAGCAUUAUGAUCAUCUUCCCAAUCACAAUAAGUAACAUGCAUAACAUAAUGAAAAUCAUCUUCAAUAGUACCUACGGACUUAUCAUCAAGAUAAUAAUGAACGCAAUCAAGCUCACCAUCCUCCAUAAAUUUAUGUCUGUUAGGAUAAGAGUUGAUGCAAAGAAUAUGCUUAGGCCAGGUUGAUACCCAUUCUUCUUCCUUCUUGUUCCUCUUCCUCCUCUUCCUUUUCUUCUUCUUCACCUUAGGAGGGAGUGGUUGGAGAGGAAGCUUCUCCAAAUAUUCUGGUUUAUUAUUAGAAACAAUAGGGGAAACAUGGGAGAAACUCUCCUUUUUAUUAGUGGAAACAUAAGAAACAUUUUUAUGCUUUGGUAAAGUUCCCUCCUUUCUAAUCUUACUUAUGCAAUCAUUUUCAUGGCAAUUAACAACACAAUAGAGAUGGCAUUUUUGCAAAGUGUUGUUUAUUCCUAAGGUAUUAUCAUCUAGCCAAGAAGUUUUUUCUGAUAACUCUUCACACAUCAAAAAUAACAUAAGUUCAUCAUAAAGAUCAGAAGUGAUCAUUGAUACGCCUCCGUCGUAUCUACUUUUCCGAACUCUUUUUCCCUUGUUUUGGACUCUAAUUUGCAUGAUUUGAAUGGACUAACCCGGACUAACGCUAUUUUCAGCAGAAUUGCCAUGGUGUUGUUUUUGUGCAGAAAUAAAAGUUCUUGGAAUGACCUGAAAAAUUACGGAGAAUUUUUCUGAAAUUAAAGAAAAAUACAUGCGCAAAGAUCCACCGGAGGGGGUGAACUAGUGGGCCACAAGCCCACUAGACGCAGCCACCCCCCAGGCCGCGCUGUGAGGGCUUGUGGGGCCCACGAGGCUCCACCACCUCCAAACUCAGCUCUAUAUAUUCCAUUUCGCCUGGAAAAAAACCAGAGAGAAGGAUUCAUCGCGUUUUACGAUACGGAGGCGCCGCCACCUCCUGUUCUUCAUCUGGAGGGCAGAUCUAGAGUCCGUUCUGGGCUCCGGAGAGGGGAAAUCGUCGCCAUCAUCAUCAUCAACCUUCCUCCAUCGACAAUUCCAUUAUGCUCUUCACCGUUUUGAGUAAUCUCAUCGUAGGCUUUUGGACGGUGAUGAGUUGGAUGAGCUAUCAUGUAAUCGAGUUAGUUUUGACGGGGAUUGAUCGCUAGUAUCCACUAUGUUCUGAGAUUGAUGUUGCUACUACUUUGCCAUGCUUAAUGCUUGUCACUAGNNNNNNNNNNNNNNNNNNNNNNNNNNNNNNNNNNNNNNNNNNNNNNNNNNNNNNNNNNNNNNNNNNNNNNNNNNNNNNNNNNNNNNNNNNNNNNNNNNNNNNNNNNNNNNNNNNNNNNNNNNNNNNNNNNNNNNNNNNNNNNNNNNNNNNNNNNNNNNNNNNNNNNNNNNNNNNNNNNNNNNNNNNNNNNNNNNNNNNNNNNNNNNNNNNNNNNNNNNNNNNNNNNNNNNNNNNNNNNNNNNNNNNNNNNNNNNNNNNNNNNNNNNNNNNNNNNNNNNNNNNNNNNNNNNNNNNNNNNNNNNNNNNNNNNNNNNNNNNNNNNNNNNNNNNNNNNNNNNNNNNNNNNNNNNNNNNAUAGUAUGAGGAGUUCAUCUAUUCACCAAGUGUCAAUGCGUUGGUCCGGUUCUUUAUUAAAAUGAGAACCUUAAUAUCUCGUAGUUUCCAUUAGGACCCCGCUGCCACGGGAGGGAUGGACAAUAGAUGUCAUGCAAGUUCUUUUCCCUAAGAACGUAUGACAACAUACCGAAUACAUGCCUACAUUAGAUUGACGAAUGGGAGCUAGUCACAUAUCUCUCCGUGUUAUAGCUGUUACAUGAUGAAUCACAUUCGGCAUACUCAUCCAUCACCAAUCCACUACCUACGAGUCUUUUACUACUUGUCCUUGCUACGUUACUUUGCCGCUACUGUUGUUACUGCUGCUACCGUUGCUACUGUCACUACUGCUGUUACUUGCUACUUUGUUGUUACUUGUUGCAACACUUUAUUGGCGCCAUUGAUACAACAAGUUAGGAAUAGUCUGCCGUCAACAGACCUUUUCUGGCACCGUUGCUAUCAUACAACUUUGCUACUAAUACUUUGCCUGCAGACACUAAUCUUUCAGGUGUGGUUGAAUUGACAACUCAGCUGCUAAUACUUGAGAAUAUUCUUUCGCUUCCCUUUGUGUCAAAUCAAUAAAUUUGUGUUGAAUACUCUACCCUCGAAAACUGUUGCGAUCCCCUACACUUGUGGGUUAUCAAGACCUUUUUCUGGCGCCGUUGCGAGGGAGGCACAACUAUAUUCUCUGAGUCACUUGGGAUUGACGUCUGCUGGUCACUAUGAGGAAUCCGAAAGAUCCAAGAACUAAAAUCUUGCCUUCCACUACGAGGACAGAUAAGGAUCUGCCAUCUAGCUCUGCACUUGAUUCACCUUCAGUUAUGAGUAAGUUUGCGACAUCGCCUCCUGCUAGAAAUCUUGAUAUGUCGCUUGUGCUUGAUGAUGCUACUUCUGCUGCCCAUGAUGCUUAUGAUGAUGCUAUGCUUGAUAUUAUGCCUGAUGAUGCUAUGCUUGAUACUAUGCCUGAUGAUGCUAUAACUGAUACUGCUUUGCCACUAGGUGCAUUCCUUGAUGCACAAAUUGCUAGAAUUGCUGCUAGAUGUGAUGAUACUUUUGAAACUGCUGCUAUUGAAGUAGAACCUGCUACUAUGCCUGAAUUGCCUGUUACGCCUGAACGCUAUGUUAUGGAGGGAGAGAUAGCUGAGGAUUUUCUUGUGCGUAAGGAUAGCUAUGAUGUUGAGAAAUUACUGCGCAAGUGGAAAGAAAAAUCUCUGAACGCUAGGAUGAAAUACGACCCGAAGUUUGCUACUUCGCCUAUCUUUGUGACCGAUAAGGAUUAUGAAUUCUCUGUCGACCCUGAGUUAAUCACUCUGGUCGAAUCUGAUCCUUUUCAUGAUUAUGAUUCUAAAACGGUUGUAGCCCAUCUUACCAAACUGCACGAUAUAGCCACCCUAUUCUCUAGUGAGGAAAAGAUCCGCCACUACUAUAUCCUCAAGCUGUUUCCUUUCUCGCUAAAGGAUUAUGCUAAGACCUGGUUCACUUCUCUUGCUCCUGGAUGUGUGCGCAGCCCCGAGGAUAUGGUGUACUACUUCUCUGAGAAAUAUUUCCCUGCCCAUAAGAAGAAAGCUGCCUUGCAGGAAAUAUACAACUUUGCUCAACCUUAAGAAGAGAGUCUCCCACAAGCUUGGGGGAGGCUCAUCCAGCUACUGAAUGCUUUGCCUGAUCACCCUCUUGAGAAGAAUGAAAUACUUGAUAUCUUCUAUAAUGGACUUACCGAUGCUUCCAAAGACCACCUAGAUAGUUGUGUUGGUUGUGUUUUUAGGGAACGAACUGUAGAACAAGUUGAGAUUCUACUGAAUAACAUCUUGUGCAAUGAGAAUGCUUGGACUAUUCCCGUACCACCUCCUAAGCCAACUCCGAAGAAAAGAGUCAUUCUAUUCCUCAGUCCUGAAGAUAUGCAAGAAGCCAAGAAAUCUAUGCGAGAGAAAGGCAUUAAAUCUGGAGAUGUCAAACAUCUACAACCUAUCGAAGAGAUCCAUGGUCUCGAUAACCCGAUACAGGUAGUAGAAGUAAAUUCUCUGCGUAGGUUUGAUGAGAGUGAUAUUCCUUUUGAUAAACCUGCUAGCCUAUGCAUGGAUGAAUUUGAUAACUUUGUUUCCAAACAACAAAUUUUCAAUGAUUAUGUUAGCAGACAAUUGGAACAGAAUGCUCGUAUGCUUAGUCAUUUAAGUGCUUGUGUGGACUUAAACGUCAAUGAUCUUAAGCUUCUGAGUAAGCAUGCCUCUAUGGUUACUAAUCAGGUAGAACAAGUACUUAAAGCUCAAAAUGACUUGCUCAAUGAGUUGAAUGAAAAUUAUGUCAGAGUCUUCACUAGAGGCGGUAGAAUGACCCAGGAACCCUUGUAUCCUGAGGGUCAUCAGAAAAGAAUUGAACAAGAUUCUCAAGGACUUAGCACUGAUGCACCUAGUCAUCCUAGAAAGAAGAAGAAAGAUGAUAGGAACACUAGCAACCCUGUUGCUGCUACACCUGAGAGUCCAAACGAUGUCUCUGUCUCUGAUGCUGAAACACAAUCUGGUGAUGAACAUGAGCCUGAUGAUAAUAUCAAUAGUAAUGUUCAUGAAGAUGCUCAACCUAGCAAUGAUAAGGAUGUGGAGAUUGAACUUGUUGAUCUUGAUAACCCACAACCUAAGAAUAAGAGGUACGAUAAGAAUGACUUCACUGCUAGGAAGCACGGCAAAGAAAGGGAACCAUGGGUUCAUAAACCCAUGCCCUUUCCUCCCAAACCAUCCAAGAAAAAGGAUGACGAGGAUUUUGAGCGAUUCGUUGAAAUGAUCACACCAAUCUUUCUACAAAUGCGUUUGACAGAUAUGCUCAAAAUGUCUCCAUAUGCUAAGUACAUGAAAGAUAUUGUGACUAAUAAGAGGAGGAUACCUGAGGUUGAGAUUUCCACCAUGCUUGCUAAUUAUACCUUCAAGGGUGGAACUCCUAAGAAACUAGGUGAUCCCGGUGUGCCCACUAUACCUUGCUCCAUUAAAGGCAACUACGUUAGAACUGCUUUAUGUGACCUUGGAGCUAGUGUUAGUGUUAUGCCUCUGUCUCUUUAUCGUAGACUUGAGCUGGAUAAGUUGACACCCACUGAAAUCUCUCUGCAAAUGGCCGACAAAUCAACUGCUUUCCCUAUCAGCAUUUGCGAGGAUGUGCAUGUUGUGGUUGCUAAUGUCAAUAUCUUAAUAGACUUUGUUAUCUUGGAUAUUCCUGAGGACGAUGCCAUGGCAGUCAUCCUCGGAAGACCCUUUUUAAACACUGCAGGGGCUGUUAAUAUUGCAACAAAGGCAAUGUCACUUUCCAACGGUAAUGAGCAUACGGUGCACUUUCCGAAGAAACAAUAUCGAGUACAUUGCAUCAAUGCUAUCGAAAAAACUUCAUCGAUUCUUAUUGGGAGCUUUGAAUGCUCUAUUCCUCGUGUCAAGAUGAAGUAUGAUUUGCUUGUUGGGGAGAUACAUAUCCCCAUUGAGGUGACCUAGUGACUAUUCAAAAAUUCUCCGUUCUCUUUUGCGAUUCGAAAAGGUUUGGCAAAGAGACUUGAUCAACCUCAUUGACAGAUUUUCUCUCGAUGACCAUGAGAUGGAUGAAUCGAGGAGUCACAAACCUCUGUUCCAAGCUUUCACUUUAGGUUGCUUAGAAGAAAAAUGAUAGGUUUAGUUUAGUUUUCCCUGUUUCUUGUUUUAGCGUCCGGUAGAAAAGUACCCCAAAAAUAAAAGUUCUCCGAACGGCGUGAAAAUCAAGUAUGAUUUUUUCUGCAAUUUUUGAAAAGUUCUGAGACGAAGAGCUUGUCUAGGGGCUGCACCAGUGGGCCACAAGCCCUGACGGCACGGGCACCCCCUGGCCGCGCCACCCAGUCUUGUGGGGCCCGUAGGCACCCCCUCCACUCAUUCUUGCUCUCAUCUGGUUCUCCUACCUCCAGAAAAAAUCGUUUCGCAGCUCAAACCCGUGUUCUUGCUCCUCUUGCUGGGAUUUUCGAUCUCUUUGCUCAAAUCACCGUUCUCCGAACUGUUUUGGGGAAAUUACUCCUUCGUUAGUGACUCCUCCAUUGGUCCAAUUAGUUUUUGCUCGAGUGCCUUAUACUCCGCGUAUUUUUGCUGCCUUGGUGACCAUGUCCUUGAGCUUUGCAUGCUGAUUUUAGCUGGUCCCAAGUAGUUUUGAUGCGUAAUAUGGCCUCUAGAUACUUGUGGGAGUAGUUGCUAUGAGUUUAGUUGGUCCCUAUUCACUUUUCCUUAGAAUCACUAAAAAAUUUAGAAAUUUUCAGAGAUAGGGAAAGGAAAGAUGAGAAGGUUCUUAAGAGGCUCUUCAAGCCGUGGCCCCAAGGACGAUGGAAGUGAGAAGAAGUCCAAGUAUCUGGUCCCUCGAGUCAUAGAAGUUCGAGCGUGCGAGUGGCCAAGCGACAUGUUCUUACGCGUCGCUGGAAUUUAUGAGGACUUUUAUCACUUGGUGGAAAACGCAGGCCUUACCGCCUUCUUUGAAGAUAAGUGCCCGCAAUACCUCCUCCUCACUAAUAUCUUCGUAAAAAGCUUUAACUUCUAUCCGAGGAAGAAUCCUCCUAUGAUUGAGUUCAAACUUUAUGAUAUCCCCCAGCGCAUGUCACUCCAGGAUUUUUGCAAUGUCUGCAAAUUACCUUACGUUGGGGAUAUUCAUGAACCUCGUCCACGGGACUUGGAGGCUUUCAUCGAUACAAUUGCUGUAAGAGAGGAGAGAGGAGUUGCUUGCGCUAGAGCUGCUAGCAUUCAUUUUCCUAUGCUUCGGUACUUCUCACUUUUUGUGGGAAAAUGUUUGAUUGGCUGUGGGAAAGCUGGGUCACUUAGUUCCCCAGAUCUUGCGGUCUUGGGCGAAGCCCUUUAUAACGAUAAAACUUAUAGCUUGGGCACUAUAGUAGCUCAACGGUUGAACCUGAACCAUUCUAAAGGUGUUGUCUAUGGAGGUAUCUAUGCUACCCAUCUUGGCAGACACUUUGAGAUACCCAUUAGACUGGAGGAGGAAGAAGAGGUUCUUCUUCCCGAGAGAUAUCUAGAUUACGAUAGCAUUGUUCGCCAUGACUUUCUUAAUAGAGAUAUAAAAAUAAGGAUGAUUUAUAACCUGGUAUUUAGUCAGGGUACUCGUGAGACUAUUACUUUGCCUGCUCCUUCUUUGUUCAAUCUUCAUGCACGCAGGUACAUUAUUAUGCCCUCGGACAUCCAGGCAUAUUGGGGUUUAGCCCAACCACAUGUGCCCAUGCCCGAGCCGCCAGUCGAGUACCAAACGCCGGUUUAUCACUGGGAGCGAGAGGAGCUCACACAACAGUGGCAUCCUCAGUCCGCUCCGUAGUACCCCGGAGCUGGUUAUUUCCCUCCUUGGGAAUAGACCAACUUAGGCCAAAAGCCUAAGCUUGGGGGGAGUACGUGUUUCUCACUGACUUUACAUUCUUGCUUAUGCUUUCACUUUGUUAGCCGGUGUCCACACUUUGCCACUGUAUCAUCCAUGCUAGUUUAUUUUCUUUUUCUCAUUUUAUUUUCGUGUGUCUAUCUAGUUUGAGAAAACCCAAAAAGAUUUUCUUUUUCUUCUUUUUCUUGUUGGGAGCUUUCCCGUGUAAAUAGUUUUCUUUUUCUUUGGGUCAAGGUAGAAGAUAUUGGUUACAAUGUUUAGUGGCUCUUGCAUGCAUACCUGUUUAGCUUUCAUAGAGCCAUAUUACUUUGUCUUCUCCUUUGUGUUUGCCUGCAGAUUCCAGCAUAGUCCAAUGCAUGAAUACUCUUAUUAUUGUCCACAUCGUUCGAUCGUUCAAGUGAAAGGCAAUAAUGAUGAUAUAUGAUGAAGUGACUGAGCCUGGAAAAUAUGGUAUGAACUCGAUCUAUAUUGUUUUUGUAAAUAUGACUAGCUCAUUGUGCCUGAUUCAACUUUGUUGUGAGAGAAACAUGUUUGCAAUGACAACUUAGAGAUCAUAGUUGCUUAUGCCAUGCUUACUUAGCUAGGAGCUUAUAAUGGUUUGUCUUGGAUGCCCACAUGAAUGUUGAGAUGACUGUGUUGUAGUAUGAUAGGAUGGUAUCUUCCUUUGAAUGUUUCAAGUGGCUUGACUUGGCGCAUGUUCACGCAUGUAGUUGAAACAAAAUCAACAUAGCCUCUAUGAUGUUCAUGUUCAUGGUGAUUUAUGUCCUACUCAUGCUUGCACUCAAUGUUAGUUAAUCUCAAUGCAUUUUGAUGACUGUUGUCGCUCUCUAGUUGGUCGCUUCCCAAAGUUGUUCCAUAUGAGUCCACCAUACCUACCUAUGUGCGGUAUCUGCCUGCCGUUCCAAGUAAAUUUGCAUUUGCCACUCUCUAAAUCUUCAAGAAAUAAUCUGUUUUGCAUGCCCGAACCGCUCAUGUGGUGACACGGGGCUAUUGAUAUCUUCCAUGCUAGGCGCGUUAUCCUCGAUAGGUGUUUAUUCACUAUCAUUCACGAGAAAGGGGCCGGUAAUUGGAAUUCCCAGUUCCAUGCUCAAAUCGAAAAGAUAAUUGCAAACAAAACUCCCCCAGGAUUGAUGUUGGUAUGGACGGAGUGUGAUUGAUUGGUGGUGGGGGAGUCAAAACUUUACUUUUCUGUUUGGGAACCGCCUAUAGCAUGUGUAGCAUGGAAGAUGUUGAGAACUCUUAGUCAUUGCGUUGACAAUAAAAGCAUGCCACCCAAAAUUAUUAUCUCUGUUUUCAAAGCCUCAGCUCUAGCACCUAUACAAAUAAAUGCUUCCCUCUGCGAAGGGUCUGUCUAUUUAUGUUCCUGUUGAGUCAUCCUCCUCUUACAAAAGCACCAAUUAGAGAGCAACUCUGUCGUUUUUAUGCUUUUAACUGUGUUGAGUAUGACUGGAUCUUCUUUCCCAUGAAUUACAAUGUUUAGUCAGCCCUUGGUCUUUGAAGGUGCUCUGCAUUUAUGUUUUGCGGUAUCAGAAAGAGCUAGCGAGAUACCACCUGUUCGUACUGCUUCAUGUUGUUUUGAUUUAAGUGUUGACAUUAGAGGCUUAUUAUUAUUUGCUCGCUAGCUGAUUAUGUCAUUGAUAUGAGUUUGCCGUGAGACCUAGAUGUCAUUUUCUUAUAUGGUUUGCUUGUGAUCUUGCCAAAAUUCUGGUUAUGAGUUAGACAUAGUUGCAACAACAAGAUCAAAUAGAGUUCAUCAAAGUUUUUAUUUUGUCUCUUUCAGUUUUUCAACUGAAUUGCUUGAGCACAAGCAAGGCUUUAAGCUUGGGAUCAUUGAUACGUCUCUAUUGUAUCUACUUUUCCGAACUCUUUUGCCCUUGUUUUGGACUCUAAUUUGCAUGAUUUGAACGAAACAAACCCGGACUAACGCUGUUUUCAGCAGAAUUGCCAUGGUGUUGUUUUUGUGCAGAAAUAAAACUUCUCGGCAUGACCUGAAAAUUUACGGAGAAUGUUUCUGGAAUUAAAGAAAAAUACCUGCGCAAAGAUCCACCAGAGGGGGUAAACCAGUGGGCCACAAGCCCACUGACCGCGGCCACCCCCCAGGCCGCGCCGUGAGGGCUUGUGGGGCCCACGAGGCUCCACCGCCUCCAAACUCAGCUCUAUAUAUUCUGUUUCGCCCGGAAAAAAUCAGAGAGAAGGAUUCAUCGCGUUUUACAAUACGGAGGCGCUGCCACCUCCUGUUCUUCAUCUGGAGGGCAGAUCUGGAGUUCGUUCUGGGCUCCGGAGGGGGAAAAUCGUCACCAUUAUCAUCAUCAACCUUCCUCCAUCGACAAUUCCAUGAUGCUCUUCACCGUUCGUGAGUAAUCUCAUUGUAGGCUUGUUGGAAUGUGAUGAGUUGGAUGAGAUCUAUCAUGUAAUCGAGUUAGUUUUGAUGGGGAUUGAUCCCUAGUAUCCACUAUGUUCUGAGAUUGAUGUUGCUACUACUUUGCCAUUCUUAAUGCUUGUCACUAGNNNNNNNNNNNNNNNNNNNNNNNNNNNNNNNNNNNNNNNNNNNNNNNNNNNNNNNNNNNNNNNNNNNNNNNNNNNNNNNNNNNNNNNNNNNNNNNNNNNNNNNNNNNNNNNNNNNNNNNNNNNNNNNNNNNNNNNNNNNNNNNNNNNNNNNNNNNNNNNNNNNNNNNNNNNNNNNNNNNNNNNNNNNNNNNNNNNNNNNNNNNNNNNNNNNNNNNNNNNNNNNNNNNNNNNNNNNNNNNNNNNNNNNNNNNNNNNNNNNNNNNNNNNNNNNNNNNNNNNNNNNNNNNNNNNNNNNNNNNNUGUGUUAUGACCCGGCAAACCCGGAGUGACAAUAGCCAGAACCACUCCCGGAGAUGACCAUAGUAUGAUGAGUUCAUGUAUUCACCAAGUGUUAAUGCGUUGGUCCGGUUCUUUAUUAAAAGGAGAACCUUAAUAUCCCGUAGUUUCCAUUAGGACCCCGCUGCCACGGGAGGGAUGGACAAUAGAUGUCAUGCAAGUUCUUUUCCCUAAGCACGUAUGACUACAUACGGAAUAAAUGCCUACAUCAGAUUGACGAACGGGAGCUAGUUACAUAUCUGUCCGUGUUAUAGCUGUUACAUGAUGAAUCACAUCCGGCAUACUCAUCUAUCACCGAUCCACUGCCUACGAGUCUUUUACUACUGGUUCUUGCUAUGUUACUUUGCCGCUACUGCUGUUAGUGCUGAUGUCAUUGCUACUGUCACUACUGCUGUUACUUGCUACUUUGCUUUUACUUGCCGCAACACUUUUUUGGCGCCAUUGAUACAACAAGUUAGGAAUAGUCUGCCGUCAACAGACCUUUUCUGGCACAGUUGCUAUCAUACAACUUUGCUAUUCAUACUUUGCCUGGAGACACUAAUCUUUCAGGUGUGGUUGAAUCGACAACUCAGCUGCUAAUACUUGAGAAUAUUCUUUCGCUUCCCUUUGUGUCGAAUCAAUAAAUUUGGGUUGAAAACUCUACCCUCGGAAACUGUUGCGAUCCCCUACACUUGUGGGUUAUCAAUCAUGUUAUCACACAACUGGUUAACAGUUAUGUUUUGGAAGUUCAUGCAUUGAAAAUGAAAGUGGCACUCUAUAUCACAAAGUUCACAAGUAAAAGGAGAAAGGUCACAUAAUUCUCUAGCAAUUUCAUUUAAAUCUCUAACCCAAGUGAUUGUUCUUUCAUGGUUAUGUUGCUUACAAUACUUCUCUUCUUCAAUCAUAGGCCUUUCACAAGGUCUAUCCACUCCACAAAAAUUAACAUGCUUAUAUAAAACUUCUUUUCCAGGAAUUGGAUCAUGCAUGUUGCAAUUAUCAUUAACAAUUUCAUUUUCUUUGGAAAACUCUUAAAAAAGUUCAUGAUGCUUGAUACAAUUCUCCUUAGGCAUAUUAAGAUGUGAAGCAAUAGAUUUGAGGAAAUCAACAAGGAGGUGAGAAUCAAGCCCAAACUUAGCACUAAACUUAUUAAAACUUGCAGUUUCAACAAAGGCCUUAAUGCAAUCAUACUCAUAAUUUAUACCCGACUCUUUACCUUUGUCGAUCUCCCAAUCUUCAGUAUUGCGGUGAAUUCUUUCAAGGAGUUCCCAUUUAGCAUCAAUCCUUUUGUUUGUGAAGGAACCCAUAGAGGAAGCAUCGAGAAAGUCUUUAUCCUGUCGAGAGAGCCUCGCAUAGAAAAUAGUAAUAAUCAUAUCUUUGGGGAGCCCAUGGUUAGGACAUUUUAGCAUUAAAGUUUUCAGUCUCCCCCAAGCUUGAGCUAUGCUCUCUCCGUCAUGAGGAUAGAAAUUAUAAACAUAAUUCCUAUUCUCAUGGACUUCAUGAAGAGGAUAAAACUUAGAGCAAAAGAGAGACUGGAUCUCUUCCCAAUCCCGUAGGUGAGAAUCAUCUAGUAGCCUAUACCAUUCCAAUGCUUUUCCUUUCAGUGACAAGGCAAAUAAUUUCCUCAUGACUCAAUCUCUCGUCAAACCUGAAAUCUUGAACAACUCACAAAGUUCUAUAAGUUUCAAAAAAUGAAUACUGGGAUUGACUGUUCCAUCUCCUGCAUAACAAUCCUUCCUUAUUAUUUCAAUAAUGUCAAGUGGUAUUUUGAAUGGGUACAUUCAGUAGGUGGAAGAGACUUCUCUGCCACGGGUGUGGUAAAGCAGCCUUCCCCAAGCACCGAACUAAGAGUGUAGUUUUCCAUAAGCCUAACUACUGAAAAUAAAAACGAGAAACAAAAAGAUUUAAUUGCAAGAUCUAAAGAUAUACCUUCAAGCACUCACCUCUCCGACAACGGCGCCCGAAAUAGCUUGAUGUCUACACACGCUUCUAUUCUUGUAGACUAUGUUGGGCCUCCAAGCGCAGAGGUUGUUGGAAAUAUGCCCUAGAGGCAAUAAUAAAUUAGUUAUUAUUAUAUUUCCUUGUUCAUAAUAAUCGUUUAUUAUCCAUGCUAGAAUUGUAUUGAUUGGAAAAUCAAAUACAUGUGUGGAUACAUAGACAACACACUGUCCCUAGUGAGCCUCUAGUUGACUAGUUCGUUGAUGAAAGAUGGUCAAGGUUUCCUAGCCAUAGGCUAGUGUUGUCACUUGAUAACGAGGUCACAUCAUUAGGAGAAUCAUGUGAUGGACAAGACCUAAAUUAUAAACGUAGCAUGUGAUCGUGUUAUUUUGUUGCUAUUGUUUUCUGCGUGUCAAGUAUUCAUUCCUAUGACCAUGAGAUCAUGUAACUUACUAGCAUCGAGGAAUACCUUGUGUGUAUCAAACGUCGCAACGUAACUGGGUGACUAUAAAGGUGCUCUACAUGUAUCUCCAAAGGUGUCCGUUGAGUUAGCAUGGAUCAAGACUGGUAUUUGUCACUCUGUGUGACGGAGAGGUAUCUCAGGGCCCACUCUGUAAUACAACAUCACCUAUAAGCCUUGUAAGCAAUGUGACUCAAGUGUGAGUCACGGGGAUCUUGUAUUACGGAACGAGUAAAGAGACUUGCCGGUAACGAGAUUGAAAUAGGUAUAGGGAUACCGACGAUCAAAUCUCGGGCAAGUAACAUACCGAAGGACAAAGGGAAUGUUAUACGGGAUUAUAUGAAUCCUUGGCACAGAGGUUCAACCGAUAAGAUCUUCGUAGAAUAUGUAGGAUCCAAUAUGGGCAUACAUGUUUCUAUUGGAUAUUGACCAAGGAGUGUCUCGGGUCAUGUCUAUGUAGUUCUCGAACCCGCAAGGUCUGCACACUUAAGGUUCGAUGGUGUUUUAGUGUAGUUGAGUUAUAUGUGUUGGUGACUGAAGGUUGUUCGGAGUUCCCGGAUGAGAUCACGGAUGUCACUAGGGUUUCCGGAAUGGUCUGGAAACAUAGAUUGAUAUAUAGGAAGUUGGUGUUUGGAUUCAGGAAGUGUUUGGGCAUUCCUGGCAGUGUACUGGGAGUGACGAAUGUGUUCCGGAGGCCCACUGGUUGGGCCCACAAUGCCCCAAUGGGUCCAGGUGGGUUUAUUGGUUGUACAAUAAGGUAUAAUGGGCUGACAAAGUCAUCCAAGUAAAGCCCAUGAGGAAAAAGUGGAAAAUCCAAAAGAGGUGGGAAAAUAAGGAAGGAGUCCUAAUCCAAGUGGGAUUGGAGAAGGACUCCUCCCUUUCUCCCACUUCGGCCAACCCAAGGAGGACUCCUUGGUACCCCAAGACUAACUAGGGCUGCCUCUCCCCUACUCCAAUAUAUAUAGAGGUUUAGGGCUUUUGAGACACAACUUUGCCACGUGCAACUCAAACCUACACCUCGUAGUUCUUCCUCUAUAUUAGAUUUUUGCGAAGCUCGGGCGGAGCCCUGCAGGAAUAGUUCAUCAACAACUCUGGCGCGCCGUCACGCUGCCGUAGAACUCAUCUAAUUCUCCGUCUCUCUUGCUGGAUGAAUAAAUCCGAGAUCGUCAUCGAGUUGUACGUGUGCUGAACGCGGAGGUGCCGUCCGUUCGACGCUAGAUCGGGAUGGAUCGUGGGACAGAUCGCGAGACGGUUCGUGGGAUGGAUCGAGGGACGGUUCGUGGGACAGUUCGAGGGACGUGAAUACGUUCCACUACAUCCACCACAUUUCUUAACGCUUCCCAUUGUGCGAUCUACAAGGUUACGUAGAUCUAAUCUCUACUCGUAGAUGGACAUCACCAUGAUAGGUCUUCGUGUGCGUAGGAAUUUUUUUUGUUUCCCAUGCAGCGUUCCCCAACAGUGGCAUCAUGAGCUAGGUUCAAGCAUAGAUGUUAUCUGGAGUAGAACACAAAAGGUUUUGUGGACGCCGAUAUUCGAUUUUCUGCCCUCCUUAGCCUUUUCUCGAUUCGGCGUAUUGUUGGAUUGAAGAGGCCCGGACCGACAUAACUCGUACGCUUACGAGAGAUUGGUUUCAUCGAUUGACAUGCAACCUCAUUGCAUAAAUAUGAAUGGCGGGUGCCUGUUUCUUCAACUUUAGUUGAAUUUGUUUUGACCGAGGCGGUCCUUGGAGAUGUUAAAUAGCAAUUUGCACAUCUCCGUUGUGGUUUUUGCGUAAGUAAGAUGCGAUCAUACUAGAUACCCUUAGCAGCCACGUAAGUCAUGCAACAACAAAUUAGAGGACGUCUAACUUGUUUUUGUAGUGCUUGUGAUAUGAUAUGGCCAAAGAUGUGAUGUGAUAUAUUGGAUGUAUGAGAUGAUCAUGUUGUAAUAGUUAAUAUCGACUUGCACGUCGAUGCUACGACAACCGACAGGAGCCAUAGGGUUGUCUUUAAACUAACGUUUGUGUUUGUAGAUGUGUUUACUAUAUUGCUAGGUCGUAGCUUUAGUAGUAAUAGCAUAGAUAGCAUGACAACCUCAAUGGCGGCACGAUGAUGGAGAUCAUGGUGUGGCGCCGAUGACAAGAAGAUCAUGCCGGUGCUUUGGUGAUGGGGAUCAAGAAGCACGAGAUGAUGACCAUAUCAUGUCACUUAUGAAUUGCAUGUGAUGUUAAUCCUUUUAUGCACCUUAUUUUGCUUAGAACGACAGUAGCAUUAUAAGGUGAUCACUCACCAAAAUUUCAAGAUGAAAUUGUGUUCUCCCCGACUAUGCACCACGUGAUAGUUUGUCGUUUCGAGACACCACGUGAUGAUCGGGUGUGAUAGACUCAACAUCCACAUACAACGGGUGCAAAACAGUUGCACGCGCGGAACACUCGGGUUAAACUUGACGAGCCUAGCAUGUGCAGACAUGGCCUCGGAACAUAUGAGACCGAAAGGUCGAGCUUGAAUCAUAUAGUUGAUAUGAUUAGUAUAGAGAUGCUUACCAUUGAAACUAUUCUGAACUCACAUCAUGACCGGACUUGAGUUAGUGAAUUUGGAUCAUGUACCACUCAAAUGACUAGAGAGAUGUAUUUUUUGAGUCGGAGUUCUUAAGUAAUAUGAUUAAUUGAACUAAUUAUCAUGAACAUAGCUAAAAGGUCUUUCCGAAUUAUGAUGUAGUGUGCGCUAUAGCUUUACUGUUUUUUAUAUGUGCCUAGAGAAAAUUUAGUUGAAAGAUGAUAGUAGCAACUUUGCGGACUAAGACCGUGAAACUGAGGAUUGUCCUCAUUGCUGCGCAGAAGUCUUAUGUCCUUAAUGCACCACUCAGUGUGCUGCACCUCGAGCGUCGUCUGUGGAUGUUGCGAACAUCUGACAUACACGUUUUUGAUGACUACGUGAUAGUUCAGUGCGUAAUACUUAAUGGAUUAGAAGCAAGGCGCCGAAGACGUUUUGAAACGUCACGGAACAUAAGAGAUGUUCUAAGAGAUGAAAUUGAGAUUUCAUGCUCGUGCCCUUGUUGAGAGGUAUGAGACCUCCCACAAGAUUCUUUGUCUACAAAGUAAAGGAGAAAAGCUCAAAUCGUUGAGCAUGUUCUCAGAUUGUCUGAGUACAACAAUCGCUUGAAUCAAGUGGGAGUUAAUCUUCCAGAUGAGAUAGUGAUGGUUCUCCAAAGUCACUUCCACUAAGCUGCUAGAGGUUCUUGAUGAACUAGAACAUAUCAAGGAUAGAUAUGAUAAUCCUUGAGCGAUUCCAAUGUUUGACACUUCGGAAGUAGAAAUCAAGAAGGAGCAUCAAUAGUUGAUGGUUAGUAAAACCACUAGUUUCAAGAAUGGCAAGUGCUAGAAGGGACACUUCAUGAAACGACAAACCAGUUGCUGCUCUAAUGAAGAAGCCCAAGAUUGAACCCAAACUAGAGACUAAGUGCUUCUGUUAUGAGGGGAACGAUCACUGAGGCGGAGCUACCCUAGAUACUUGGUAGAUGAGAAGGCUGGCGAAGUCAACAAAAGUAUAUUUGAUAUACAUGAUGUGUACUUUACUAGUACUCCUAGUAGCACGAGGGUAUUAGAUACCGGUUCGAUUGCUAAGUGAUUAGUAACUCAAAAUAAAAGCUAUGGAAUAAACGGAGACUAGCUAAAGGCGAGGUGACGAUACGUGUUGGAAGUGUUUCCAAGGUUGAUGUGAUCAAACAUUGCAUGCUCCCUCUACUAUCGGAAUUGGUGUUAAACCUAAAUAAUGAUAGUACCACUUACUUGAGGCACUGCCAAUUGAGUCAUGUUGGUGUAAAAUGAUAGUACCACUUACUUGAGGCAGUGCCAAUUGAGUCAUGUUGGUGUAAAAUGCAUGAAGAAGCUCCAUGCCGAUGGAUUUUUGUACUCACUCAUUUUUGAAACGUUUGAGACAUGCAAACCAUACCUGUUGGUAUACACGCAUGAAGAAACUCCAUGCGGAUGGAUUGUUUGGAAUCACUUGAUUUUGAAUCACUUGAGACAUGCAAAAUGAUACCACAUGGAGCAAGAGAGUAACUUGUUGGAAGUAAUACAUUUUUUAUGUGUGCAGUCCAAUAAGUGCUGAGGCACGCAGUGGAUAUCAUUAUGUUCUCACUUCACUAAUGACUUGAGUAGACACAGGAGUAUUUACUUGAUGAAUCACAAAUCUGAAAUAUUGAAAAGUUCAAGGCUAUUUCAGAGUGAAGAUCGUCGUGACAAGAGGAUAAAACUGUCUACGAUAUGAUCAUAGAGAUGAAUAUCUGAGUUGCGAGUUUUGGUACACAGUUGACACAAUGAGGAAAUUGUUUUCGCAAUUCAUGCCACCUGGAACAUCAUAGUGUGAUGGUGUGUCAGAACGUCAUAGCCGCGCCCUAUUUGAUAUGGUGCAUACUAUGAUGUCUCUUAUCGAAUCAGCACUAUCGUUUAUGGGUUAGGCAUUAGAGACAACCGCAUUCACUUUAAAUAGGGCACCACGUAUUUUCGUUGAGAAGACACAAUAUAGACUAUGGUUUGGAGAAACCUAAGCUGUCGUUUCUUGAAAGUUUGGUGCUGCGACACUUAUUUGAAAAAAUUUCAGUCUGAUAAGCUCGAACUCAAAGUGGAUAAAAACAUCUUCAUAGGAUAUCCAAGACAGUUGGAUACAUCUCCUAUCUCAGAUCCGGAAGCAAAGUGUUUGUUUCUAGAAACGGGUCCUUUCUCGAGGAAAGGUUUCUGUCAAUAUAAUUGAGUGGGAGGGUGGUGGAACUUGAUGAGGUUAGUGAACCGUCACUUCAAACAGUGUGUAGCAGGGCACAGGAAGAUGUUCCUGUGGCGCCUACACAAAUUGAAGUGGAACUGAUGAUGGUGAUCAUUAAGCUUCGGAUCAAGUUACUACAAACCUCGUAGGUCGACAAGGUCGCGUACUACUACGGAGUGGUACGGUAACCCUGUCUUGGAGGUCAUGUUGUUGGACAACAAUGAACCUACGAGCUAUGAAGAAGCGAUGGUGGGCCCGGAUUCCGAGAAAUGGCUGGAGGCCAUGAAAUCCGAGAGAGGAUCCAUGUAUGAAGACAAAGUGUAGACUUUGAAAGAACUACUUGAUGGUCGUAGGACUAUUAAGUAAAGAUGGAUCUUUAAAAUAAAGACAAACGAUGAUGGUGAAUAGUCACCAUUAAGAAAAGCUCGAUUUGUCGCGAAGAUGUUUCCAACAAGUUCAAAGAGUUGACUAUGAUGAGACUUUCUCAAUCGUAGCAAUGCUAAACGUCUGUUGGAAUUAGGUUAGUAGUUGCUGCAUUAUUUAUGAAAUAUUGCACAUAGGAUGUCAAAACAUUGUUUCCUCGACGUUUUCCUGGAGGAAAGGUUGUAUGUGAUACAACCAGAAGGUUUUUUCGAUCCUAAGGAUGCUAACAAGUGUGCAAGCUCCAUCGAUCCUUCUAUGUACUAGUGCAGGCAUCUCGGAGUUGGAAUGUACACUUUGAUGAUAUGAUCAAAGCUUUUAGGUUUGUACAAGGUUUAUGAGAAACUUGUAUUUCCAAAUAAGUGAGUGGGAGCACUAUAGAAUUUCUGAUAAGUAUAUGUGGUUGACAUAUUGUUGAUCAGAAGUAAUGUAGAAUUUCUGUAAAGCAUAAAGGUUGUUUGAAAGGGGUUUUUCACAGGAAUACCUGGAAAGAGCUACUUGAACAAUGAGCUUCAAGAUCUAUGGAGAUAGAUCAAAAUGCUAAAUAGAACUUUUAAAUGAAAUGCAUGCCUUGACAAGUUUUUGAAGGAGUUCAAAAUAGAUUAGCAAAGAAGGAGUUGUUGGUUGUGUUGUAAGGUGUGAAUUUGAGAAGAAGGAGAAAGGACGAAGGUCGUCCGCUUUUCCUUAGCCGCAGACUCUAAAGUAUGCCAUGAUGUGUGCCCCACCUGAUGUGUGCCUUACCACAAGUCUGUUAAGAGGUAUAGAGAGUGAUACAUGAUUGAAUCACCGAACAACGGUCAAAGUUAUCCUUAGUAACUAAUGGACUAAGGAAUUUUUCUCGAUUAUGGAGGUGGUUAAAGAGUUCGUCGUAAAGGGCUACGUCGAUGCAAGCUUUUACACUAAUUCGAAUAACUAUGAGUAGUAAAACGGAUUCGUAUAGUAGAGUAGAUAUUUGGAGUAUUGCCGAAUAGCACGCAGUAGCAACAUCUAUAAUAUGACAUAAAGAUUUGUAAAUCAUACACAGAUCUGAAAGAUUUAGAACCGUUGACUAAAACCUCUCUCACGAGCAAGACGUGAUCAAACCCUAGAACUAUAUGGUUGUUGUAUUCGUUAAAAUCACAUGGUGAUGUGAACUAGAUUAUUGACUCUAGUGCAAGUGGGAGACUGUUGGAAAUAUGCCAUAGAGGCAAUAAUAAAUUAGUUAUUAUUAUAUUUCCUUGUUCAUAAUAAUCGUUUAUUAUCCAUGCUAGAAUUGUAUUGAUUGGAAACUCAAAUACAUGUCUGGAUACAUAGACAACACACUGUCCCUAUUGAGCUUCUAGUUGACUAGUUCGUUGAUAAAAGAUGGUCAAGGAUUCCUGGCCAUAGGCAAGUGUUGUCACUUGAUAACGGGAUCACAUCAUUAGGAGAAACAUGUGAUGGACAAGACCCAAAUUAUAAACGUAUCAUGUGAUCGUGUUAUUUUGUUGCUAUUGUUUUCUGCUGUCAAGUAUUCAUUCCUAUGACCAUGAGAUCAUGUAACUUACUGGCACCAGAGGAAUACCUUGUGUGUAUCAAACGUCGCAACGUAACUGGGUGACUAUAAAGGUGCUCUACAGGUAUCUCCGAAGGUGUCCGUUGAGUUAGCAUGGAUCAAGACUGGGAUUUUUCACUCCGUAUGACGGAGAGGUAUCUUGGGUCCCACUCGGUAAUACAACAUCACAUAUAAGCCUUGCAAGCAGUGUGAAUUAAGUGUGAGUCACGGGGAUCUUGUAUUACGGAACAAGUAAAGAUACUUGCCGAUAACGAGAUUGAAAUAGGUAUAGGGAUACCGACGAUCAAAUCUCGGGCAAGUAACAUACCGAAGGACAAAGGGAAUGUUAUACGGAAUUAUAUGAAUCCUUGGCAUAGAGGUUCAAUCGAUAAGAUCUUCGUAGAAUAUGUAGGAUCCAAUAUGGGCAUCCAGGUCCCGUUAUUGGAUAUUGACUGAGGAGUGUCUCGGGUCAUGUCUACAUAGUUCUCGAACCAGCAGGGUCUGCACACUUAAGGUUCGAUGGUGUUUUAGUGUAGUUGAGUUAUAUGUGUUGGUGACAGAAGGUUAUUAGGAGUCCCGGAUGAGAUGACAGAUGUCACGAGGGUUUCUCGAAUGGUCCGGAAACAAAGAUUGAUAUAUAGGAAGUUGGUGUUUGGAUUCCAGAAAGUUUUUGGGCAUUGCCGACAGUGUACCGGGAGUGACGAAUGGGUUCUGGGGGCCCACUGGGUGGGCCCACCACGCCCCAAGGAGUCCACGUGGGUUUAUUGGAUGUACAAUAAGGUAUAAUUGGCUGACAAAGUCAUCCAUGGAAACCCCAUGAGGAAAAGUGGAAAAUCCAAAAGAGGUGGGAAAAUAAGGAAGGAGUCCUAAUCCAAGUGGGAUUGGAGAAGGACUCCUCCCUCUCUCCCACUACGGCCAACCCAGGGAGGACUCCUUGGUGCGCCAAGACUACCUAGGGCUGCCUAUCCCCUCCUCCUAUAUAUACUAGAGGUUUAGGGAUUUUGAGACACAACUUUGCCACAUGCAGCUCAAACCUACACCUCGUAGUUCUUACUUUAGAUUAGAUUUCUGCGGAGCUCGGGCGGAACCCUGCAGGAAUAGUUCAUCACCAACACAGGCGCGCCAUCACGCUGCCGGAGAACUCAUCUACUUAUCCGUCUCUCUUACUGGAUCAAGAAGGCCGAGAUCGUCAUCGAGCUAUACGUGUGCUGAACGCGGAGGUGCCGUCCGUUUGGCGCUAGAUCGGGAUGGAUCGUGGGACGGAUCGAGGGACGGUUCGUGGGACGGUUCGAGGGACGUGAAGAUGUUCCACUGCAUCAACCGCGUUUCUUAACGCUUCCCGCUGUGCGAUCUACAAGGGUAGGUAGAUCUAAUCUUCACUCGUAGAUGGACAUCACCAUGAUAAGUCUUCGUGUGCGUAGGAAGUUUUUUGUUUCCCAUGCAGCGUUCCCCAACAGAGGUUUGUAGGACAACAACAAUUUCCACCAAGUGGAUGACAUAAGGUUUAUCAAACUCAGGGAAGUAGAGGUUGAAGAUGGUCUCUCUCAAGCAACCCAACAAUUAAGAUACAAGAAGUCUCUUGUGUCCCCAACACACCUAAUACAGUUAUCAGUUGUAUAGGUGCACUAGUUCGGUGAAGAGAUGGUAAAAUAUGGAUGAUAGGUGUGGCAAAGCAAGGUAAUAUAAAUCUGAAAUAAAAAUGGCAGCAAGGUAGCAAGUGAAAAAAGUGAGCAUAAACGGUGUAACAAUGGUGAGAAACAGGGCCUAGGCUUCAUACUUUCACUAGUGGCAAUUCCCAACAACAUUAACAUUGUGUAAUGACAUGACAUUUCCACUAAAACAUGCAAUGGAGACGUACUUGGAGGUCAUUCUUUUGUGAUCAAGAGAGGACGAGAAUUAUGUACGGCUACAAAAGCACACCUCAGAAUUCGUAGUUCUCUCUAUGGAUUUCCCAAUGUCACCGCGGCCAUCCAAAGAGAGUACCACAAUCACCACAACGUAUCUCAAGGAUACUCAAAGACAAGCACCAAGAGACUCUCAAUCUUCAAUCAAUUCACAAAAGAGGAAAUCACUCAUGAAAAUAUUCUUCUAAUCCAUGUCCCAUAGCCCGCUGUCACCAUGAUCUCGGGGAUUAUACUAGAUAAGAUAAAGUGAGUACAUCAAUCCAAUACAUAGAAGAAGGGGAAACAUCAUCGGAUCAUCCUAGAUUAAUAGAGCCCAUGAUCACAAUCAAGAUCACAUCAUUAGAUAGAGAAUUAACCACAUAGCUACUGUAGAAGACCUCAGCCCCAAGGAGGAACUACUCCUGCUUCAUGGAGUGAGGAUGCAACGUCGAUGGAGAUGAAUCUGGGGGCACUUCCCCAUCCCGGUAGGGUGCCGGCACAUGAAUUCUGGUCCCCUGAAACUUGUUAGUGAUGGCGGCGGAGAUCGGAAUUGCCUAGAGAAAAGGGUUCCGGAAUCAGCAUUUCCUCCACGGGGUAAAAAUAGGAGUCAAAGUAGGGCACCACAGGAGGUGGGCCCCACGCAGGCGGCCUCCUGGCAUGGCCUAGGGCCUGGCCGCGCCAGCAGGUCGCCUGGACGGCCCCGGGCCCCCUCUGGCCCAUCUUUCUUGAUCUGGAAGCUUCUGUUUCGCUGAUUUUUUAUAUAUUUUUCCUGGAAUUUUUCAGGCUUUGGAAAAUUGGGCAAAACCCAUCGAAAUAGACAUCAGCAGACAGAAACUGGCAUUGGGUGCACUGAGUUAGUAGGUUAGUCCAAAUAUGUGUAAAAUGAUAUAAAAGUGUAGCAAAACAUAUAACAAUGUCACCCAAAAGAUCACGGAACAAGCGGAAAUUAUUGAUAUGUUUGGGGCGUAUCAACACCCCCCUGCAAAACAAGACAUAUCACCAUGUUCCUCACUCUGUUGCUAUGUUAUUAGUUUUCAUGAAUAAUUUGGACAUGUACUAUAACUUACUUCGCUCACAUCGUCCUUAUCAUUGUCAUCAUCCUCAUCAUUGUCAUCAUCUAAAGUUCUCGACUUAGUGUCACCAUCGUUAUUUCUCUAUGCAGAUUCAAAAGUGUAAGUGAUACAAUUUGUAUGCUAGUAAUUAUACAACAUAUUUGAAAAGUACCUGGGUUCGACUUUAAGCAUAUGAUUGUUCAUCAAUAUCGUAAUCGUCAUUGUCAUCAUUAGCAUGCACCUAUUUAAAUUCAAUAGCAACUACAAGUCUCAAUGUAUUAGCUUAUAUUCCAUAAUUUGUAGUCCACGUCCACAACACUUACAUUACCACUAUAUGAUUCAUUCUGACUUCGGUACGGAUGGUCUUUACACAUUGUAUUCUACUUUUAAAUACCAAUAUAGCAUGGAGAAGGACUUGAGUACAAGCCCCCCUAAACGUAUAAGGGCAGUAUGGUCUUUACACAUUGUGUACGGUAUGUGUCGCCCGCCUGCCUGCAUGAUCUUCACGUACGCCACGUCAGUCCACGCAUCGGCGGUUGGUUUGGAAGAAAAAAAACGGAUACAAACCCUAUCUUCUCUCUCCACCGCCACCGUGACUCCACCCCGCACGUCUCCGCNNNNNNNNNNNNNNNNNNNNNNNNNNNNNNNNNNNNNNNNNNNNNNNNNNNNNNNNNNNNNNNNNNNNNNNNNNNNNNNNNNNNNNNNNNNNNNNNNNNNNNNNNNNNNNNNNNNNNNNNNNNNNNNNNNNNNNNNNNNNNNNNNNNNNNNNNNNNNNNNNNNNNNNNNNNNNNNNNNNNNNNNNNNNNNNNNNNNNNNNNNNNNNNNNNNNNNNNNNNNNNNNNNNNNNNNNNNNNNNNNNNNNNNNNNNNNNNNNNNNNNNNNNNNNNNNNNNNNNNNNNNNNNNNNNNNNNNNNNNNNNNNNNNNNNNNNNNNNNNNNNNNNNNNNNNNNNNNNNNNNNNNNNNNNNNNNNNNNNNNNNNNNNNNNNNNNNNNNNNNNNNNNNNNNNCACGACAUUGUAGCCACCGAUGCAUCGACAUCGGACACGACGAAUGAUGUUGUUGAACCCUUUGAAGACCGACGGUAAGUUUUUUUCCAUUUAAUCCAUACGAUUUUUCAUGAUUUCAUUGUAUGCUUUAUGUUCUGGUGUUGUGACAUUGAUAAAACACCUUUUGAAAGGUUUAUUGUUAGAGCAAGACACCGAAUAUGCCGGCGAUGACUCUGGUAGUGAGAAUGACUCAUCGUCAUUGAAUGCAAAUAAAUCAAUCGGACACAACUAUAUGAGUCAGGAUGAAUCAUAUAGUGGUANNNNNNNNNNNNNNNNNNNNNNNNNNNNNNNNNNNNNNNNNNNNNNNNNNNNNNNNNNNNNNNNNNNNNNNNNNNNNNNNNNNNNNNNNNNNNNNNNNNNNNNNNNNNNNNNNNNNNNNNNNNNNNNNNNNNNNNNNNNNNNNNNNNNNNNNNNNNNNNNNNNNNNNNNNNNNNNNNNNNNNNNNNNNNNNNNNNNNNNNNNNNNNNNNNNNNNNNNNNNNNNNNNNNNNNNNNAAAUUAUGGAAUAUAAGCUAAUACACUGACACUUACAGUUGCUAUUGAAUUUAAAUAGGUGCAUGCCAAUGAUGACAAUGACGAUUAGGAUAUAGUUGAACAAUCUUAUGCUGAAAGUGGAACCCAGGUACGUUUAAAAUAUGUUGUAUACUUACUAGCAUACAAAUUGUAUUACCACUUACACUUUUGAAUCUGCAUAGAGAAAUACCGAUGGUGACACUAAGCCGAGAACUUUAGAUGAUGACAAUGAUGAGGAUGAUGACAAUGAUGAGGAUGAAGACAAUGAUGAGGACGAUGUGAGCGAAGUAAGUUAUAUUACGUGUUCAAAUUAUUCAUGAAUACUAACAACAUAGAAACACACUGACGAACAUGGUGAUAUGUCUUAUUUUGUAGGGGGUGUUGAUGGUCCUAAUGGGAACGAUGAGCAUGUUGACGAUCUGGAGUUUGACCUUGACAUCGGCUAUGAUGAAUAUCAGCAAGAGUCACUCGAUAGGUAUUUGGAAGUGAUGGCCAAGACAUUCAGGUCAGAGGGAGAGGUGUACACGUUCUACAACUAGUACGCCAAAUAUCGUGGGUUCAGUAUCAGGAGGGACUUGAACAGAUUUGCAAAUGGUUCUUCAAAAGUUUUGCACUUAAGGAGGUAUCUCUGGUCCACGGCAGGAAAACGACACGCCAAAUUUUGUACAAUGGAAGGCCGGACCCGUAGAUCGAGACCGGAGAGUCGAUGCUUGUGUGAAGCCCAUUUAAUAGUGAAGCUUGAUAGAAAGAGUGAACUUUGGUAUGUCAGCAGUUUCUUCGAUGAUCACAACCACGUUCAUGCACGACCGGACAAAGUCCCUUUCCUCCGGUCUCACAAUGUGAUCAAAGAAUUUUAGAAAGCAGAGAUAUUAGCUAUGGCAGGAGCCGGGAUAAGAAAGCACAUUAUUUUUUAUAACUUUGUGAGCAGGUAUGGUUCAUACGCUAAGACAGGGUUUGGAAGGAGGAAGUUGUAUAAUAUGUGCUACAUGGAGAAGAUGAAACUGCUUGCUUAGGGUGAUGCUGACAUUGCUAUAUGAAUCAUGUUGGCUAGAAAGGACAGGGAUCCGAAUUUCUUCUUAGAGCAUACUGUUGACGCUGAUGGUAGGCUGAACAACUUGUUCUGGUGUGAUUCGUAAUCACAUCAGGAUUAUCUUAACUAUGGUGAUGUCACUAUGUUCGACAGUACGUACAAAAUGAAUAGGUAAGAAAUUCCGUUUAUCCCUUUCGCCGGUCUCAACAAUCACCGUUGCACUACGGUAUUUGCAUGCACCAUUGUUUCAGAUGAGACUAAAGGUACGUAUGUUUGGCUGCUAGAGACAGUUUUGAAAGCUCACUGUCACAAGAAGCCCCAGUUUGUAAUUACUGAUGGAGAUGCAGCGAUGAUAAGGGCUUCCUGACGCGUGGCAUCGUCUAUGUUCAUGGCAUAUUGACAAGAACAUGCAGGAACACCUCCACCACAAGUCAUUGAAGGAAUUCAGGUCACUCCUAUACUACUCCACCACACAUACAAUUUUCGAGGAGAGAUGGGCCGCGUUUGUUCAGUAAUGGCAGACGGAGAAAACAAAAACAUGGCUCCAUAGGAUGUAUAGGAAGAAGAAGCUUUGGUUUGCAUCAUAUUUGUCUGGUGGGUUAUUUCUUGGUAUGCGGAGUAAUCACAAGAGCGAGAUCUUGAACUCUUUCCUGCACCUACAUCUUGACUAUGGUAUGACAACUGUUGACAUGAUUGUACACUAUGAGAAUUGCAUUAUGCGCCUCCGCGAGAAUGAAUCGCAUGACGAUUGCAUGGUGAUAUGUCACCAACGUAUCUAUAAUUUUUGAUUGUUCCAUGUUGUUAUAUUAUCAUUCUUGGAUGUUUUAUAAUCAUUUUAUAGUCAUUUUAUAUCAUUUUUUUGUACUAACCUAUUGACAUAGUGCCUAGUGCCAAUUGUUGUUUUCUGCAUGUUUUUUACAUCGCAGAAAAUCAUUACCAAACGGAGUCUAAAUGCAGCGAAACGUUUUGUGGACUUUUUUUGGGCCAGAAGACAUCCAGUGGGCCAGGAACGCACCUGAGGGGAGCUCCGAUGGAAGCACAACCCACCAGGGCGCGCCUGGGGCCUGAUAACCCACAAGUAUAGGGGAUCGCAAUAGUUUUCGAGGGUAGAGUAUUCAACCCAAAUUUGUUGAUUCGACACAAGGGGAAGCCAAAGAAUAUUCUCAAGUAUUAGCAGUUGAGAUGUCAAUUCAACCACACCUGAAAGACUUAGUAUCUGCAGCAAAGUAUCAUCAGCAAAGUAGUGUGAUAGCAACAGUAGAAAUGGUAAUAGUAGCAGCAGUGACAGUAGUAGCGACAGACUAACAGUAGCAGCAGUGACAAUAGUAGCGACAGAGUAACAGUAGCAGCAGUGACAGCAGUAGCGGCAAAGUAACGUAGCAAGGACCAGUAGGAAAAACUCGUAGGCAUUGGAUCGGUGAUGGAUAAUUAUGCCGGAUGACAUUCAUCAUGCAACACUUAUAAUAUAGAGAGAUACGUAACUAGCUCCAGUUCGUCAAUGUAAUGUAGGCAUGUAUUCCGUAUGUAGUCAUACGUGCUUAGGGAAAAGAACUUGCAUGACAUCUAUUGUCCAUCCCUCCCAUGGCAGCGAGGUCCUAAUGGAAACUACGGGAUAUUAAGGUUCUCCUUUUAACAGAGAACCGAAACAUCGCAUUAGCACUUAGUGAAUACAUGAACUCCUCAUACUAUGGUCAUCUCCGGGAGUGGUUCCGGGUAUUGUCACUCCGGGGUUGCCGGGUCAUAACACAUAGUAGGUGACUACAACUUGCAAGAUAGGAUCAAGAACACACAUAUAUUGACGAGAACAUAAUAGGUUCAGAACUGAAAUCAUGGCACUCGGGCCCUAGUGACAAGCAUUAAGCAUGGAAAAGUAGUAGCAGCAUCAAUCUCAGAACAUAGUGGAUACUAGGGAUCAAUCCCCAUCAAAACUAACUCGAUUACAUGAUAGAUCUCAUCCAACCCAUCACCGUCCAGCAAACCUACAAUGAGAUUACUCACGAACGGUGAAGAGCAUCAUGGAAUUGGCGAUGAAGGAAGGUUGGUGAUGAUGAUGGCGACGAUCUCCCCUCUGCGGAGCCCAGAACGGACUCCAGAUCUGCCCUCCAGAGGAAGAACAGGAGGCGGCGGCGCCUCCGUAUCAUAAUACGCGAUGAACUCUUCUCCUUGAUUUUUUUCCGGACGAAAGGGACUAAAUAGAUCUGGAGUUGUAGGCAGUGGAGCUCUAAGGCCCCCACAAGCCUGCUAUGCGCGGCCAGGGGGCCCCGCGCCUGGUGGGCUUGUGGGCUCCUCGGUCCACUCCUCCGGUUGAUUCUUGCGCCAGUAUUUUUUAUAUAUUCCACAAAAAAUCCUCGUAAAUUUCUAGCUCAUUCUGAGAAUUUUAUUUCUACGCAAAAACAACACCAUGGCAAUUCUGCUGAAAACAGCGUUAGUCCGGGUUAGUUCCAUUCAUAUCAUGCAAAUUAGAGUCGAAAACAAGGGCAAAAGAGUUUGGAAAAUUAGAUACGAUGGAGACGUAUCAACUCCCCCAAGCUUAAAGCCUUGCUUGUCCUCAAGCAAUUCAGUUGACAAACUGAAAAGGACAAAAGAAAAACUUUUAUGAACUCUGUUUGAUCUUGUUGUUGCAAUUAUGUCUAACUCAUGUUUAGAUUUUCAGCAAGAUCAUAAGCUAACCACAUAAAAAAUGACAUUUAGGUCUCAUGGCAAACUCAUAUCAAUGGCAUAAUCAACUAGCGAGCAAUAAUAAUAAGUUUCAAAUGUCAACACUUCAAUCAAAACAAUCAUGAAGCAGUAUGAACAGAUGGUAUCUCACUAGCCCUUUCUAAGACCGCAAAACAUAAAUGGAGAGCACCUUCAAAGACCAAGGGAUGACUGAACAUUCUAAUUCAUCGCAAAGAAGAUCCAGUCACAGUCAUACUCAAUAACAAUUAAAAGCAAAGCAUAGAAAUGAGAGAGGUGCUCUCUAAUUGCUGCUUUUAUAAGAAGAGGAUGACUCAACAGAAACAUAAAUAGAUAGGCCCUUCACAGAGGGAAGCAUUGAUUUGCAGAGGUGCCAGAGCUCAAGCUUUGAAGACAGAGAUAAACAAUUUCGGGUGGCCUGCUUUCAUUGUCAAUGCAAUGACCAACAGUUUUCACCAUCUUCCAUGCUACAUAUACUAUAGGCGGUUCCCAAACAGAAAAGUAAAGUUUUGACUCCCCAACCACCGAUCAGUCACACUCCACGACUAGACGAAUACUCGGGUGCCAUCCAUACCAACAACAAUCCAGGGGGAGUUUUGUUUGCAAUUAUCUUUUCGAUUUGAGCAUGGAACUGGGCAUUCCAAUUACCGGCCCCUUUCUCGUGAGUGAUAGUGAAUAAACACGUAUCGAGGAUAACACGCCUAACAUGGAAGAUACUGAUCGCCCCUUGUCACCACAUGAGCGGUUCAGGCAUUCAGAACAUAUUAUUUUCUUGAAGGUUUAGAGAGUGGCACAUGCAAAUUUACUUGGAACGGUAGGUAGAUACCGCAUAUAUGUAGGUAUGGUGGACUCAUAUGGAAAAACUUUGGGUUUAUGUAAGUGGAUGCCAAAGCAGCAUUCCCGCUUAGUACAAGUGAAGGCUAGCAAAAGACUGGGAAGCGACCAACUAGAGAACGACAACAGUCAUCAAAAUGCAUUGAGAUUAACCAACAUUGAGUGCAAGUAUGAGUAGGACAUACAUCACCAUGAACAUGAAUAUCAUAGAGGCUAUGUUGAUUUGUUUCAACUACAUGCGUGAACAUGUGCCAAGUCAAGCCACUUGAAUCAUUCAAAGGAGGAUACCAUCCUAUCAUACUACAUCAUAAUCAUCUCAAAAUUCAUGUUGGCAUCCAAGAAAACCAUUAUAAGCUCCUAGCUAAUUAAGCAUGGCAUCAGAAACUAUGAUCUCUAAGUUGUCAUUGCAAACAUGUUUCUCUCACAACAAAGCUGAAUUAGGAACGAUGAGCUAGUCAUAUUUACAAAAACAAAAGAUCGAGUUCAUACCAGCUUCUCCACGCUCAGUCACUUCAUCAUAUAUCGUCAUUAUUGCCUUUCACUUGCACGACCGAAUGAUGUGAACAAUAAUAAGAGUGUUCGUGCAUUGGACUAAGCUGGAAUCUGCAAGCAAACACAAAGGAGAAGACAAAGUAAUAUGGCUCUUUGACAGAUAAACAGAUAUGCAUGCGAGAGACACUAAACAUUGUAACCAUGGUCUUCUACCUUGACCCAAAGAAAAAGAAAACUAUUUACACGGGAAAGCUCCCAACAAGCAAAAGAAGAACGAGAAAUCUAUUUGGGUUUUCUCAAACUAGACAAACACAUGAGAAGAAAGCGAGAAAAAGAAAUAAACUAGCAUGGAUGAUACAUUGGCAAAGUAUGAACACCGACUAACAAAGUGAAAGCAUAAGUAAGAAUAUAUAAAGUCGGUGAGAAACACGUACUCCCCCAAGCUUAGGCUUUUCACCUAAGUUGGUCUACUCCCAUGGAGGGAAAUAACCGUCUCCGGGGUACUCCGCAGUGUACUGAGGGUGCAACUGCUGGGUGAGCUCCUAGAUUCAUCCUUCUCAAUGGGGAUGUGCAUAUCCCCAACAAGUAAAUCAUACUUCAUCUUGACAGUAGGUAUAGGGCAUUGAAAGCUCCCAAUAAGAAUCGAUGAACUUUUUUCAAUAGCCUUGAUGCAAUGUACUCGAUAUUGUUUCUUCGGAAAGUGCACCGUAUGCUCAUUACCAUUGACAUGGAAAGUGACAUUGCCUUUGUUGCAAUCAAUAACAACCCCUGAAGUGUUUAAAAAGGGUCUUCCAAGGAUGACCGCCAUGGCAUCAUUCUCGGGAAUAUCCAGGAUAACAAAGUCUGUUAAGAUAGUAACAUUAGCAACCACAACAGGCACAUCCUCGCAAAUGCCGAUAGGGAAAGCAGUUGAUUUGUCGGCCAUUAGCAGAGAGAUUUCAGUGGGUGUCAACUUGCCCUAUUCAAGUCUAUGAUAAAGAGAGAGAGGCAUAACACUAACACCGGCUCCAAGGUCGCAUAAAGCAGUUCUAAGGUAGUUUCCUUUAAUGGAGCAAGGUAUAGUGGGCACUCCGGGAUCACCUAGUUUCUUAGGAGUUCCACCCUUGAAGGUAUAAUUAGCGAGCAUGGUGGAAAUCUCAACCUCAGGUAUCCUCCUCUUAUUAGUCACAAUAUCUUUCAUGUACUUGGCAUAGGGAGACAUUUUGAGCAUAUGUGUCAAACGCAUUUGCAGAAAGACAUGUCUAAUCAUUUCAACAAAUCGCUCAAAAUCCUGAUCAUCAUUUUUCUUGGAUGGUUUGGGAGGAAAGGGCAUGGGUUUCUGAACCCAUGGUUCCCUUUCUUUACCAUGCUUCCUAGCAAUGAAGUCAUUCUUAUCGUAUCUCUUAUUCUUAGGUUGUGGGUUAUCAAGAUCAACUGGUUCAAUCUCCACAUCCUUAUCAUUGCUAGGUUGAGCAUCUUCAUGAGCAUCACUAUUGAUAUUAUCAUUAGGCUCAUGUUCAUCACCAGAUUGUGUUUCAGCAUCAGAAACUGAGACAUCAUUUGGACUCUCGGGUGUAACAGCAACAGGGUUGCCAUCGUUCAAAUUCCUAUCAUCUUUCUUCUUCUUCCUAGGAUGACUAGGUGCAUCAAUGCUAACUCCUUGAGAAUCUUGUUCAAUUCUCCUAGGAUGACCCUCAGGAUACAAAGGUUCCUGGGUCAUUCUACCGCCUCUAGUGACGACUCUGACAUAAUUGUCAUUCAACUCUAUGAGCAAGUCAUUUUGAGCCUUAAGUACUUGUUCUACUUGAGUAGUAACCAUAGAGGCACGUUUACUCAAAAUCUUAAGAUCAUUGAUGUUUUUAUCCACACAAGCACUUAAAUGACUAAGCAUGCGAGCAUUUUGUUCCAAUUGUGUGCUAACAUAAUCAUUGAAACUUUGUUGUUUGGCAACAAAGUUAUCAAAUUCAUCCAGGCAUAAGCUAGUAGGUUUAUCAAAAGGAAUAUCACUCUCAUUGAAUCUACGAAGAGAAUUUACCUCUACUACUUGUAUCGGGUUAUCAAGACCAUGGAUCUCUUAGAUAGGUGGUAGAUUUUUGACAUCUUCAGAUUUAAUGCCUUUCUCUUUCAUUGAUUUCUUAGCUUCUUGCAUAUCUUCAGGACUGAGGAAUAAGAUACCUCUUCUCUUCGGAGUUGGCUUCGGAGGUGGUUUGGGAAUAGUCCAAGCAUUCUCAUUGAACAAGAUAUUAUUCAAUAGGAUCUCAGCUUGUUCCAUAGUUCGUUCCCUAAAAACACAACCGGCACAACUAUCUAGGUGGUCCUUAGAAACAUCAGUUAGUCCAUUAUAGAAGAUAUCAAGUAUUUCAUUCUUCUCAAGAGGGUGAUCGGGCAAAGCAUUCGGUAGCUGGACGAGCCUCCCCCAAGCUUGUGGGAGACUCUCUUCUUCAACUUGCGCAAAGUUGUAUAUUUCCUGCAAGGCAGAUUGCUUCUUAUGGGCAUGGAAAUAUUUUUCAGAGAAGUAGUAGAUCAUAUCCUUGGGACUACGCACACAACUAGGAGCAAGAGAGGUGAACCAAGUUUUAGCAUCAUCCUUUAGCGAGAAAGGAAACAGCUUAACGAUAUAGUAGUGGCGGAUCUUUUCCUCACUCGUGAAUAGAGUGGAUAUAUCGUGCAGGUUAGUAAGAUGGGCUACAACCGUUUCAGACUCAUAACCAUGAAAAGGAUCAGAUUCGAACAAAGUUAUUAACUCUGGGUCGACAGAGAAUUCAUAAUCCUUAUCGGUCACAAAGAUAGGCGAAGUAGCAAACUUCGGGUCGUAUUUCAUCCUAGCGUUCAAAGAUUUUUCUUUCCACUUGCGCAGUAAUUUCUCAAGAUCAUAGCUAUCCUUACAAGCGAGAAAUUCCUUAGCUAUCUCUCCCUCCAUAACAUAACCCUCAGGCAUACCAGGCAAUUCAUAUCUAGGAUAGCUAGUUCUAACAGGCGAAAUAGCAGGUUCUACUUCAAUAAUCUCAGCAGUUUCAGAAGUAUCAUCACAUCGAAUAGCAACUCUAGCAAUUUGUUCAUCUAGGAAUGAACCUAGUGGCAAAGAAGUAUCAAGCAAAGCAUCAUCACAAGCAUCAUGGACAACAGAAGUAGCAUCAUCAAGCACAGGCGACACAUCAAAAUUUCUAGCAGGAGGUGGUGUCGCAAACUUACUCAUAACUGAAGGUGAAUCAAGUGGAGAGCUAGAUGGCAGUUCCUUACCUGUCCUCGUAGUUGAGGGCAAGACUUUACUAUUUUGAUCUCUCGGAUUCCUCUUAGUGAUCUGCAGACGCAAAUCCCAAGUGACUCAGAGAAUAGAGCUAGGCCUCCCCGGCAAGGGCGCCAGAAAAUAGUCUUGAUAACCCACAAGUGUAGGGGAUCGCAACAGUUUUCAAGGGUAGAGUAUUCAACCCAAAUAUAUUGAUUCGACACAAGGGGAAGCCAAAGAAUAUUCUCGAGUAUUAGCAGUUGAGUUGUCAAUUCAACCACACGUGAAAGACUUAGUAUCUGCAGCAAAGUAGUGUGAUAGCAACAGUAGCAACGGUAAUAGUAGCAGAAGUGACAGAGUAACAGUAGCAACAGUGACAACAGUAGCGACAGAGUAACAGUAGCAACAGUGACAGCAGUAGCAGCAAAGUAACGUAGCAAGGACCAGUAGGAAAAACUCGUAGGCAUUGGAUCGGUGAUGGAUAAUUAUGCCGGAUGACAUUCAUCAUGCAACAGUUAUAAUACAAAGAGAUAUGUAACUAGCUCCAGUUCGUCAAUGUAAUGUAGGCAUGUAUUCCGUAUGUAGUCAUACGUGCUUAGGGAAAAGAACUUCCAUGACAUCUAUUGUCCAUCCCUCCCGUGGCAGCGGGGUCCUAAUGGAAACUACGGGAUAUUAAGGUUCUCCUUUUAAUAGAGAACCGGAACAACGCAUUAGCACUUAGUGAAUACAUGAACUCCUCAUACUAUGGUCAUCUCCGGGAGUGGUUCCGGGUAUUGUCACUCCGGGGUUGCCGGGUCAUAACACAUAGUAGGUGACUACAACUUGCAAGAUAGGAUCAAGAACACACAUAUAUUGACGAGAACAUAAUAGGUUCAGAUCUGAAAUCAUGGCACUCGGGCCCUAGUGACAAGCAUUAAGCAUGGCAAAGUAGUAGCAACAUCAAUCUCAGAACAUAGUGAAUACUAGGGAUCAAUCCUCGUCAAAACUAACUCGAUUACAUGAUAUAUCUCAUCCAAUCCAUCACCGUCCAGCAAGCCUACAAUGAGAUUACUUACGAACGGUGAAGAGCAUCCUGGAAUUGGCGAUGAAGGAAGGUUGGUGAUGACGAUGGCGAUGAUCUCCCCUCUCCGGAGCCCAGAACGGACUCCAGAGCUGCCCUCCAGAGGAAGAACAGGAGGUGGCGGUGCCUCCGUAUCGUAAAACGCUAUGAACUCUUCUCCUUGAUUUUUUCCGGACGAAAGGGACUAAAUAGAGCUCGAGUUGGAGGCGGUGGAGCUGUGAGGGCCCCACAAGCCUGCUAGGCACGGCUAUGGGGGCCCGCGCCUGGUGGGCUUGUGGGCUCCUCGCUCCACUCCUCCGGUUGAUUCUUGCGCCAAUAUUUUUUAUAUAUUCCACAAAACAUCCUCUUAAAUCUCCAGGUCAUUCCGAGAACUUUUAUUUCUGCGCAAAAACAACACCAUGGCAAUUCUGCUGAAAACAGCGUUAGUCCGAGUUAGUUCCAUUCAAAUCAUGCAAAUUAGAAUCCAAAAAAGGGCAAAAGAGUUUGCAAAAGUAGAUACGACGAAGACGUAUCAGGGCCCAGGCGUGCCCCGGUGGGUUGUGCCCUCCUUGUUGGCCUCCCGCCCCGCCUCUUUGCUCUAUAAAAUACCCCAAAUAUUCCAGAAACCCUAAGAGGGGGGACGAAAAUCAAUUCUAGCCAUCGGAGAGUUCAGAAACACCAGGUCCAAUCUAGACACCAUCACAGAGUGGUUCAUCAUGUCCAUUGGUGCCUCUCCGAUGAUGCAUGAGUAGUUCUUUGUAGACCUACGUACGGGCCCAUAGUUAGUAGCGACAUGGCUUCCUCUCUCUCUCUUGGAUAUCAAUACAAUGGUUUGUUGUAGAUCCAUAUGAUGUAAGUCAUUUUGAGGUGUGUUUGUUGGGAUCCGAUGAACUCUGAGUUUAUGAUCAGAUCUAUGUUUUUAUCAUGAAAGUUAUUUGAGUCUUCUUUGAUCUCUUAUAUGCGUGAUUGAUUAUAGCCUCGUAUUUAUUCUCCGAUAUUUGGAUUUUGUUUGGCCAACUUGAUCGAUUUAUCUUGCAACGGGAAUAGGUGCUUUCUGAUGGGUUCGAUCUUACGGUGCUUGAUCCCAGUGAGAAAAAGGGAAACGACACGAAUGUAUUGUUGCUAUUAGGAUAACAAGAUGGGGUCUAUUUCUACAUAAAUAGAUCUUGUCUACAUCAUGCCAUCGUUCUUAUUUCAUUACUCUGUUUUUCCAUGAAAUUAAUACACUAGAUGCAUGCUGGAUAGCGGUCUAUGUGUGGAGUAAUAGUAGUAUAUGCAGGCAGGAGUCGGUCUACUAAUCUUGGACGUGAUGACUAUAUAAUGUUUAUUGCCUAGAUAUUGUCAUGAUUAUUUGAAGUUCUAUCAAUUUCCCAACAAUAAUUGUUUUUCCAACCGUUUUCUAUUUUUCUCGAGAGAAGCCACUAGUGAAACCUACGGUCCCUGGGUCUCUUUUCAUCAUAUUUGCCUGUGCGAUCUAUUUUCCUUUUCUUUUAUUUUCAUAUCUAUUAAACCAAAAAUACAAAAAUACAUUGAUGCAGUGUAUUUGUUCUGCGGUCUAUUUAUCCUAUAUAGCACUUUUACCUCACGUUAUUUACCUAUCUUGAGAAGCCGUACCCGAAAGGGAUUGACAACCCCUUUAACACAUCGGGUUGCGAGUAUUUGUUAUUUGUGUGUAGGUGCUGUUUAUGUGAUGUGAGGAGGUUCUCCUACCGGUUCGAUAACCUUGGUCUCAUCACUAAGGGAAAUACCUACCGUCGCUAUACUGCAUCAUCCUUUCCUCUUUGGGGAAAUAUCGACGUAGUUCUAGCAGACAUCAAAAGGAAUUUUUGGCGCCGCUGCCGGGGAGGAUCUUGAACAUCAACCAGGUUCCUGAUCACAGAUCUCAUCUCCUCGCAAUUUACAUUCGUUCACCGUUUUUUGUCAGAUCUGUUUUUGAGUACAAUCUUGUUGUGAAGUCAUCAUGAGUCAAGAGAACACCAAGUUGUGUGAUUUCUCAAAUACCAACAACAAUGAUUUUAUCAGCACUCCGAUUGCUCCUCCCGCCACUAGUGUGGAGUCUUGCGAUAUUAAUACUGCCUUGCUGAAUCUUGUUAUGAAAGAUCAAUUUUCCGGUACUCCUAACAAGGAUGCGGCAUCCGAUCUUAACACAUUCGUGGAAUUAUGCGAUAUGUAAAAGAAAAAAUAUGUGGACAAUGAUGUUGUGAAGUUGAAAUUAUUUCCGUUUUCUUUGCGAGAUCAUGCAAAAAUUUGGUUUUCUUCUUUGCCUCGCAAUAAUAUAGAUUCUUGGAACAAGUGCAAGGAUGCUUUUAUUACUAAGUAUUUUCCGCCUGCAAAAAUUAUUUCUCUUAUAACCCAGAUCAUGAAUUUCAAGCAACUUGAACAUGAGCA